GUGGCCACGAGCUCCCUGAGGCCGAAUUUCAAAUCACCACAAAGCAAAUAACAUCAGAUCUACGGACUGCACUAGAACCUCACUUUUCACCCCAAAUGGGUAACCCCUUGCACACCUGUCACAUGUAGUGUUACACAACCCCCGUGCGUCUCUGAAAGUGUUCACAAUCCAAGGACAAAAAGCAUCACCCGGAGGAGAUCCAAACGUGAGCUCUUGAGAUCUGAAGACCCCCAAGGAAGUGAGGGAAAGGCGUGGGAGGCCUUCUCAGGGGAAUCCACCACGGGGCAUCUGAGACUCGUCUCCCCAAACCAGUCACGCAUCCCAGCAGUUACUAGCCAUCGCCAGGCACCUCUGGGGCUGAGACAGUCCAGGCUGCCUGAGUGAGGAGGACCGGCCGGCCGGGUAACACCCUGGAAGCGAACACCAGGCCCAAACACUCACCCUGACUGCGUGCACGAGGGCUUCUGCCACGGACCAGGACCACCCCCGACAGCCCAGGUGCCGACCUGUAAGCCUAUCACUAUGCCGCAUGAGCACCUGCACUGCCAUUCAGAGAGAGACCUGGAGACUAAUAGAAAAGCACUUUGGAACCUUUUUUCCUGAAAAUAAGUAUGGCUUUGCUGAGUCGGCUCCUGCACAGAAUGUCUGGACGCUGGACUGGGGUAGCCUUACUGAAUGGCCAGCACACAGGGUCUUCUGUGGAACCCACUGAGAAGGUCAAGCAGGCACCGGACACAUGGGCCAGGAGAACCCGGGAGAGGUCGUGAGGCACACAGAGGAGCCCCGCACGGCUGCCACCCCAGGACAGGGGAGCCCCCCGCUGCCCCGCCCCAAAGAGCUCAGCCAGCCCGCGCUUGCGCAAUGUGGAGACUGAAGCAAUUUCUGUGACAACUGCCACAUCAUCCAUAACACAGAAAACCAAAACCUCACUAAAUGAAAAGGUCAACACCUUCCCUGAUAUAUAUAAUUAAAGAGGAUCUGCACUUUAAUGCUGCACAAAAAUGUAUGUUUCUUGCACCAAUAAAGAUACUACAUGAA